rnacentral:misc_RNA from 1 species
GAUGAAGAACGUAGCAAAAUGCGAUAAGUAAUGUGAAUUGCAGAAUUCAGUGAAUCAUCGAAUCUUUGAACGCACAUUGCGCCCGCUGGUAUUCCGGCGGGCAUGCCUGUUCGAGCGUCAUUUCAACCCUCAAGCCCCAGCGGUUUGGUGUUGGGGACCGGCGAGUACAGAGGCUUUGGGGACUUGUCCCCCUUCCCUCGGCGCCGCCCCCGAAAUGAAUUGGCGGUCUCGUCGCGGCCUCCUCUGCGUAGUAGCACAACCUCGCAUCAGGAGCGCGGCGCGGCCACUGCCGUAAAACGCCCAACUUUUUUUAAGAGUUGACCUCGAAUCAGGUAGGAAUACCCGCUGAACUUAAGCAUAUCAAUAAGCGGAGGA